rnacentral:rRNA from 1 species
AUGAACGCUGGCGGCGUGCCUAAUACAUGCAAGUCGAGCGAACGGACGAGAAGCUUGCUUCUCUGAUGUUAGCGGCGGACGGGUGAGUAACACGUGGAUAACCUACCUAUAAGACUGGGAUAACUUCGGGAAACCGGAGCUAAUACCGGAUGAUAUUUUGAACCGCAUGGUUCAAAAGUGAAAGACGGUCUUGCUGUCACUUAUAGAUGGAUCCGCGCUGCAUUAGCUAGUUGGUAAGGUAACGGCUUACCAAGGCAACGAUGCAUAGCCGACCUGAGAGGGUGAUCGGCCACACUGGAACUGAGACACGGUCCAGACUCCUACGGGAGGCAGCAGUAGGGAAUCUUCCGCAAUGGGCGAAAGCCUGACGGAGCAACGCCGCGUGAGUGAUGAAGGUCUUCGGAUCGUAAAACUCUGUUAUUAGGGAAGAACAUAUGUGUAAGUAACUGUGCACAUCUUGACGGUUCCUAAUCAGAAAGCCACGGCUAACUACGUG